UCACUCAUACUCACUCUACACAAUUCAGAUUUCAUUUGGUUUCAUUUCAACCUCACGUGUGUUAUACUAGAGUUUUGUUUUUGUCUCUCUUCAGUCUUCGCGCACGAACAUGAAGCCUCACCCACUUGCCACCAUCGUAUUCGAUAAUCAUCGUCGCCUACCAACCAACUAACACCACUCAUCAUUACAACAUGGAGAAGGCAGCUCGCAUGGAGCGGUAGACAGUAGAUUCCUUGGUGUUGGAGAUGGUAGUUUGCAAGGAGUGAGUCAAGGCAUGUCCGUGGUUAUAAAACUUUGGUAUUUGUGUAUGUUAGUAUGUAUAAAAGUUGUUAGUUGUUAAUGUGUAUUUGUGUUAGUGAGAGUGAUUGUUAGUGUGUAUUUGUGUUAGUGAGUGUGUAUAAGUUGUUAGUUGCUAGUAUGAUAUUGUGUAUAAGUGUUACAAAGUAUAAUUGACUUGUAAACUAAUACUGACAUGUAUAAUUUUUUUGUUGACAUGUAUACUGACUUUGUGUAAGUGUUAUAAGCUGAAUGUAAAUAUUAACAUGUAUACUGACUUUGUAUAAGUGUUAUAAUGUAAUAGGUUCACUUUUCAAAUA